AUUGAACGCUGGCGGCAGGCUUAACACAUGCAAGUCGAACGAGUGGCGGACGGGUGAGUAAUGUUUGGGAAUCUGCCUUAUGGAGGGGGAUAACGACGGGAAACUGUCGCUAAUACCGCGUACCAUAGGAAGCGCCCAUGUGGGAUUAGGUAGUAGGGGGGGUAAUGGCCCACCAAGGCGACGAUCUCUAGCUGGUCUGAGAGGAUGACCAGCCACACCGUGACUGAGACACGGCCCAGACUCCUACGGGAGGCAGCAGUGGGGAAUAUUGCACAAUGGGGGCAACCUGACGCAGCCAUGCCGCGUGUAUGAAGAAGGCCUUCGGGUUGUAAAGUUCUUUCGGUGGCGAGGCGUUAAUCACAGAAGAAGCACCGGCUAACUCCGUGCCAGCAGCCGCGGUAAUAC
rnacentral:rRNA from 1 species